rnacentral:rRNA from 1 species
CCUACGGGUGGCAGCAGUGGGGAAUAUUGGGCAAUGGGCGCAAGCCUGACCCAGCAACGCCGCGUGAAGGAAGAAGGCUUUCGGGUUGUAAACUUCUUUUGUCAGGGACGAAGCAAGUGACGGUACCUGACGAAUAAGCAUCGGCUAACUCCGUGCCAGCAGCCGCGGUAAUACGGAGGAUGCGGGCGUUAUCCGGAUUUAUUGGGUUUAAAGGGUGCGUAGGCGGGCUGUUAAGUCAGCGGUAAAAGCCCGGGGCUCAACCCCGGCGAGCCGUUGAAACUGGCUGUCUUGAGAUGUCGAGAGGUAUGCGGAAUGCGCAGUGUAGCGGUGAAAUGCUUAGAUAUUGCGCAGAACUCCGAUUGCGAAGGCAGCAUACCGGCGGCGAUCUGACGCUGAGGCACGAAAGCGUGGGUAUCGAACAGGAUUAGAUACCCUUGUAGUC